UACGUAGGGUCCGAGCGUUGUCCGGAAUUAUUGGGCGUAAAGGGCUCGUAGGCGGUUUGUCGCGUCGGGAGUGAAAACACGGGGCUUAACCCCGUGCCUGCUUCCGAUACGGGCAGACUAGAGGUAUGCAGGGGAGAACGGAAUUCCUGGUGUAGCGGUGAAAUGCGCAGAUAUCAGGAGGAACACCGGUGGCGAAGGCGGUUCUCUGGGCAUGUCCUGACGCUGAGGAGCGAAAGUGUGGGGAGCGAACAGG
rnacentral:rRNA from 1 species